GACGUAGGUGGCGAACGUUAUCCGGAUUCACUGGGCGUAAAGGGUGCGCAGGCGGCCGUGUGUGUGAGGCGUGAAAGCCCGGGGCUUAACCCCGGAAUUGCACCUCAAACUACACGGCUAGAGCAUUGGAGAGGGUAGCAGAAUUCACGGUGUAGCAGUGAAAUGCGUAGAUAUCGUGAGGAAUACCAGAGGCGAAGGCGGCUACCUGGACAAUUGCUGACGCUCAGGCACGAAAGCGUGGGGAGCAAAAGGG
rnacentral:rRNA from 1 species